AGCAGGCAGGAGUUGCACAGGGGUUAGGAAGGGGGUGAGAAGAUUGAAGGGGAGGGGUGUGGGUGUUGGAAUAAGGGAAUGUGGAAGUGGAGUUUAUUAAAGUAGGUCAGACAGAAUGUGGCUAGUGUGAGGGGAGAGUUGUACAGGACAGAUUGGCAGAGAUAUACAACAGUUUGAAGGUUUGUGAUACAGAGGGGAUGCAAGGAAAUGUACCGAUAAGGAAGCAGAGUGAGAGAGGAGACGGAGAGAGGUGCAGAAGAAGCAGAUACCAGAGAGGAGAGGAAGGUUGUGGGGUAGUUUACCCACAAAACACUCAUCCAACAAACACAGAUAAACCUAAACACCCAAAAAAAAAAAACAGGCGUGAUCACCCUGCACUGUUGAGAAGAA